GAUGUGUGUUCUCGUAAAUUUCUCAUUGGGCGGCUGGAGUAUUAAAUCGGCAAGAUCUUUUGUUGCCAAAAGUCCAAGAAUAAAGUCUAUGUGCCAAGUCAAUACAGCAUCAAAUCAAUCAUGUAACAGCUUUCGUUCACCGCAUUCAACGUGACGGUCGGACACAUUGCAACAGCCUGGUGAAUUUGAAGCACCGCCACACGUCACUCCUUGCGCGCAAAAGAAGUCAAAGAGUCUUCAAGAGCAGAACAGCCAUGUCACGCUUGUUUCUCCUGUGUAUCUUCACCGUAUUAAUACUGGCCAAUGAAGUCACUCGAGCUCAAGACACUGACAACAAGGAGCGGAUUCCCAGCGGGUUGCACGAGAUGUGUACACGGAGGCUCAAAAUAAGCUUUUCUUCGCUGUUUAAGUGUUUCUGGCUGAAUCGUUUCCAUCAGCAAAACGUAGACGGUCUUGACGUCGGAGACGGAAAGUGACCACCCACAAGUUGAGGUUCCGACGUAGAUGACGCCGAGCUAACAACGUCAUCAGCCGUCUUGGCCCAUGUCGAUAAUAGAAUAGCAGCCAACGCAAUGGGCCAUUUGACGAUGAAAUAUUGAAUAAAAUAUCUCCGGAAUAUAUUUUGG